rnacentral:sRNA from 2 species
UUCGCUGUCAUUGGGGAGUAGCCGCCCUUCUUCAUUGAGAGGGGCUUGCGUCAACAGACUUGCCUGGCCAUCACCGGCCACCAUGGCGCAAGCUAAGUCCUGCAACAGGAUUUUGGCGAGACCUUUGACUGCGCACCUCCGUUUUUGGCCGGGGAUGCUGCGCAGUCAUUGGUUUCAUCAACCGGCCGGAGAC